UGAGGAAUAUUGGUCAAUGGACGCAAGUCUGAACCAGCCAAGUAGCGUGCAGGAUGACGGCCCUAUGGGUUGUAAACUGUUUUUAUAUGGGGAUAAAGUGGGGAACGUGUUCACUUUUGCAGGUACCAUAUGAAUAAGGACCGGCUAAUUCCGUGCCAGCAGCCGCGGUAAUACGGAAGGUUCGGGCGUUAUCCGGAUUUAUUGGGUUUAAAGGGAGCGUAGGCCGUUUGGUAAGCGUGUUGUGAAAUGUAGGCGCUCAACUUCUAGAUUGCAGCGCGAACUGUCAAACUUGAGUGCGCGCAACGUAGGCGGAAUUCAUGGUGUAGCGGUGAAAUGCGUAUAUAUCAUGAAGAGAACCGAUUGCGAGGACAGCUUACGGGGGCGCAACUGACGCUGAAGCUCGAAAGUGCGGGUAUCGAACAGG
rnacentral:rRNA from 1 species